GAUGAACGCUGGCGGCGUGCCUAAUACAUGCAAGUCGAACGCUUCACUUCGGUGAAGAGUGGCGAACGGGUGAGUAAUACAUAAGUAACCUGGCAUCUACAGGGGGAUAACUGAUGGAAACGUCAGCUAAGACCGCAUAGGUGUAGAGAUCGCAUGAACUCUAUAUGAAAAGUGCUACGGGACUGGUAGAUGAUGGACUUAUGGCGCAUUAGCUGGUUGGUAGGGUAACAGCCUACCAAGGCGACGAUGCGUAGCCGACCUGAGAGGGUGACCGGCCACACUGGGGCUGAGACACGGCCCAGACCCAUACGGGGGGCAGCAGUAGGGAAUUUGCGGCAAUGGGGGAAACCCUGAUCGAGCAACGCCGCGUGAAGGAAGAAGUAAUUCGUUAUGUAAACUUCUGUCAUAGAGGAAGAACGGUGGAUAUAGGGAAUGAUAUCCAAGUGACGGUACUCUAUAAGAAAGCCACGGCUAACUACGUGCCAGCCGCCGCGUAA
rnacentral:rRNA from 1 species